rnacentral:rRNA from 1 species
AUUGAACGCUGGCGGCAGGCCUAACACAUGCAAGUCGAGCGGAUGAAGAGAGCUUGCUCUCUGAUUCAGCGGCGGACGGGUGAGUAAUGCCUAGGAAUCUGCCUGGUAGUGGGGGACAACGUUUCGAAAGGAACGCUAAUACCGCAUACGUCCUACGGGAGAAAGUGGGGGAUCUUCGGACCUCACGCUAUCAGAUGAGCCUAGGUACGAUUAGCUAGUUGGUGAGGUAAAGGCUCACCAAGGCGACGAUCGUUAACUGGUCUGAGAGGAUGAUACGUCAAACUGGAACUUAGAAACGGUCCAGACUCCGACGGGAGGCAGCAGUGGGGAAUAUUGGACAAUGGGCGAAAGCCUGAUCCAGCCAUGCCGCGUGUGUGAAGAAGGUCUUCGGAUUGUAAAGCACUUUAAGUUGGGAGGAAGGGCAGUAAGUUAAUACCUUGCUGUUUUGACGUUACCGACAGAAUAAGCACCGGCUAACUUCGUGCCAGCCGCCGCAGUAACAC